rnacentral:rRNA from 1 species
CGUAGGGCGCGAGCGUUGUCCGGAUUUAUUGGGCGUAAAGAGCUCGUAGGCGGCUUGUUGCGUCAGCUGUGAAAACCCGCAGCUCAACUGUGGGCUUGCAGCUGAUACGGGCAGGCUUGAGUUCGGUAGGGGAGACUGGAAUUCCUGGUGUAGCGGUGAAAUGCGCAGAUAUCAGGAGGAACACCGGUGGCGAAGGCGGGUCUCUGGGCCGAUACUGACGCUGAGGAGCGAAAGCGUGGGGAGCGAACAGGAUUAGAUACCCUGGUAGUCCACGCUGUAAACGUUGGGCGCUAGGUGUGGGGGGCCUCUCCGGUUCUCUGUGCCGCAGCUAACGCAUUAAGCGCCCCGCCUGGGGAGUACGGCCGCAAGGCUA